GGAGAAUGGGGCCCAUGGCUCUACUCCUCUAUGAAAUCAACAAGGUUGUGCCCCUUCUUCCACAACAGGCGGCUUCUGAGACUUCUGCCCUUCUUUCCUCUCUCCUAGGGUCUCAGGAGCCCUGGCAAGGGGACCCAUGGGAAUGCCAUUAACUGUUGGAAAACCCCGUCAGGCUGUGGGACAAGCCAGGCUUCGAAUCCUGAUGGGAGUCCACCAUUCUGAAAUCCAAAAAACUCUGAAAACCAACGAUUUUUUUGAGAGCACAAGCAGGGGGAACAGCAGAGGAAGAGGGAGAAG